AUUGAACGCUGGCGGCAGGCUUAACACAUGCAAGUCGAGCGAGCGGCGGACGGGUGAGUAAUGUCUGGGAAACUGCCUGAUGGAGGGGGAUAACUACUGGAAACGGUAGCUAAUACCGCAUACCAUCGGAUGUGCCCAGAUGGGAUUAGCUGGUUGGUGGGGUAACGGCUCACCUAGGCGACGAUCCCUAGCUGGUCUAAGAGGAUGACCAGCCACACUGGAACGGAGACACGGUCCAGAUUCCAACGGGAGGCAGCAGUGGGGAAGAUUGCACAAUGGGCGAAAGCCUGAUGCAGCCAUGCCGCGUGUAUGAAGAAGGCCUUCGGGUUGUAAAGUACUUUCAGCGGGGAGGCGUUACCCGAAGAAGAAGCACCGGCUAACUCCGUGCCAGCAGCCGCGGUAAUAC
rnacentral:rRNA from 1 species